UAAUGGUAAUUUGUUCGAAAACAAUAGAAUACUAAAUAAUAAUAAAGUAUAGCAUAAAUGAUAAUACUGCAUAAGUAAUAAAUUCUGUCCUGUAUAAGGAUAUGUGUGACAUGGCACCAAUCACAGUUCAUAAUUUUUUAAUUUACAUUCAAAAUUAUUAAGCUAAUAAAUUUUCGUCGCUAAUAAACAAUUGUGCGAUCACUUCUAAUUUAAAAAAUCUUUCGAAACGACCCCCCAAGGGAAUUUUAAAAUCAUCUAGCUUUGAUAAACCGGACUUACCC